GACGAACGCUGGCGGCGUGCUUAACACAUGCAAGUCGAACGGGCUCGCCCCUGUUUUUGGGGGUGGGUUGAGUGGCGAACGGGUGAGUAUCACGUGAGUAACCUGCCCCCUGCUCCUGGAUAACUGCUUGAAAGGGCGGCUAAUACGGGGUGUGCCGGCUGGUCCGCAUGGGCCUGGUCGGGAUAGUUUCAUCUUCGGGUGUUUCGGUGGGGGAUGGGCUCGCGGCCUAUCAGCUUGUUGGUGGGGUGAUGGCCCACCAAGGCGGUGACGGGUAGCCGGCCUGAGAGGGUGGGCGGCCACACUGGGACUGAGACACGGCCCAGACUCCGGCGGGAGGCAGCAGUGGGGGGUAUUGCACAAUGGGCGGAAGCCUGAUGCAGCGACGUCGCGUGAGGGAUGGAGGCCUUCGGGUUGUGAACCUCUUUCUCCGGUGGUGAAGGCCCUGUCCGUUGCGGCGGGGUUGACGGUAGCCGGGUAUGAAGCGCCGGCUAACUACGUG
rnacentral:rRNA from 1 species